UACGUAGGGUGCAAGCGUUAAUCGGAAUUACUGGGCGUAAAGGGUGCGUAGGCGGCGGGGAAAGUCUGAUGUGAAAUCCUGGGGCUCAACCCUGGAACUGCAUUGGAUACUUCCUUGCUAGAGUACUGGAGAGGAAACUGGGAUUUACGGUGUAGCAGUGAAAUGCGUAGAGAUCGUAAGGAAGACCAGUGGCGAAGGCGAGUUUCUGGACAGUUACUGACGCUGAGGCACGAAGGCCAGGGGAGCAAACGGG
rnacentral:rRNA from 1 species